GAUGAACGCUGGCGGCGUGCCUAAUACAUGCAAGUCGAGCGAAUGGAUUAAGAGCUUGCUCUUAUGAAGUUAGCGGCGGACGGGUGAGUAACACGUGGGUAACCUGCCCAUAAGACUGGGAUAACUCCGGGAAACCGGGGCUAAUACCGGAUAACAUUUUGAACCGCAUGGUUCGAAAUUGAAAGGCGGCUUCGGCUGUCACUUAUGGAUGGACACGCGUCGCAUUAGCUAGUUGGUGAGGUAACGGCUCACCAAGGCCACGAUGCGUAGCCGACCUGAGAGGGUGGUCGGCCACACUGGGACUGGGACACGGCCCAGACGCCUACGGGAUGCAGCAGUAGGGAAUCUUCCGCAAUGGAAGGAAGUCUGACGGAGCAACGCCGCGUGAGUGAUGAAGGCUUUCGGGUCGUAAAACUCUGUUGUUAGGGAAGAACAAGUGCUAGUUGAAUAAGCUGACACCUUGACGGUACCUAACCAGAAAGCCACGGCUAACUACGUGCCAGCAGCCGCGGUAA
rnacentral:rRNA from 1 species